rnacentral:rRNA from 1 species
CCUACGGGUGGCUGCAGUGGGGAAUAUUGGGCAAUGGGCGCAAACCUGACCCAGCAACGCCGCGUGAAGGAAGAAGGCUUUCGGGUUGUAAACUUCUUUUGACAGGGAAGAGCAGAAGACGGUACCUGUCGAAUAAGCCACGGCUAACUACGUGCCAGCAGCCGCGGUAAUACGGAGGAUGCGAGCGUUAUCCGGAUUUAUUGGGUUUAAAGGGUGCGUAGGCGGAAUGCCAAGUCAGCGGUAAAAUCGCGGGGCUCAACCUCGCUCCGCCGUUGAAACUGGCGUUCUUGAGUGGGCGAGAAGUAUGCGGAAUGCGUGGUGUAGCGGUGAAAUGCAUAGAUAUCACGCAGAACUCCGAUUGCGAAGGCAGCAUACCGGCGCCCAACUGACGCUGAAGCACGAAAGCGUGGGUAUCGAACAGGAUUAGAUACCCGUGUAGUC